rnacentral:rRNA from 1 species
UGGGGAUGAUGUCAAGUCAGCAUGGCCUUUAUAUCCUGGGCUACACACACGCUACAAUGGCCAACACAAUAGGUUGCUAAGCCGCGAGGUGGCGCCAAUCCAUAAAGUUGGUCUCAGUUCAGAUUGUAGGCUGCAACCCGCCUGCAUGAAGAUGGAGUUGCUAGUAACCGCAGGUCAGCUAUACUGCGGUGAAUACGUUCCCGGGGCUU